rnacentral:rRNA from 1 species
AGUGAACGCUGGCGGUAGGCCUAACACAUGCAAGUCGAACGGCAGCACAGUAAGAGCUUGCUCUUACGGGUGGCGAGUGGCGGACGGGUGAGGAAUACAUCGGAAUCUACUUUUUCGUGGGGGAUAACGUAGGGAAACUUACGCUAAUACCGCAUACGACCUACGGGUGAAAGCAGGGGAUCUUCGGACCUUGCGCGAUUGAAUGAGCCGAUGUCGGAUUAGCUAGUUGGCGGGGUAAAGGCCCACCAAGGCGACGAUCCGUAGCUGGUCUGAGAGGAUGAUCAGGCACCCUGGAACUGAGACACGGUCCAGACUCCUACGGGAGGCAGCAGUGGGGAAUAUUGGACAAUGGGCGCAAGCCUGAUCCAGCCAUACCGCGUGAGUGAAGAAGGCCUUCGGAUUGUAAAGCCCUUUUGUUGGGAAAGAAAAGAAGCAGGUUAAUACCCCGCUGUUCUGACGGUACCCAAAGAAUAAGCACCGGCUAGCUUCGUG